rnacentral:rRNA from 1 species
CCUACGGGGGGCUGCAGUGAGGAAUAUUCCACAAUGGGCGAAAGCCUGAUGGAGCAACGCCGCGUGCAGGAUGAAGGCCUUCGGGUCGUAAACUGCUUUUAUAAGUGAAUAACAUGAAUGUAUCUUAUGAAUAAGCACCGGCUAACUACGUGCCAGCAGCCGCGGUCAUACGUAGGGUGCAAGCAUUAUCCGGAGUGACUGGGCGUAAAGAGUUGCGUAGGUGGUUUAUCAAGUGAAUAGUGAAAUCUGGUGGCUCAACCACAUAGACUAUUAUUCAAACUGGUAAACUCGAGAGUAGCAGAGGUAACUGGAAUUUCUAGUGUAGGAGUGAAAUCCGUAGAUAUUAGAAGGAACACCAAUGGCAUAGGCAGGUUACUGGGCUAUUUCUGACACUAAGGCACGAAAGCGUGGGGAGCGAACCGGCUUAGAUACCCCUGUAGUC